UUGAGGUGUAAAGCUUAAUUAAGAAUAGUUUACUUGAGUAUUACGAGUUGCAUAAAAAUGUUUUAUUGAAGAGGUCUUAAAACUCAAAAGACUUGGCGGUGUCUUAGGUCCUUCUAGGGGAACCUGUCCUAUAAUUGAUAGUCCACGAUUUAUCUUUCCUUUUUUUGAACCAUUCAGCUUGUAUACCGACGUCGUCAGAUUACCUUUAAGAGUUAAAUAAGUUAUCGGAAGGAAUAGUGUUGAUUAAAUUUUAUUUGGACUUUAUAGUCUAUUAUAAUUUUUAUGAAAAUGAUUUUCUAGAUGUCAGAUCAAGGUGCAGCCAAUGAAGAGGUAGAGAUGGGUUACAAUAAUUAUUUAUUAUUUACGGAUUUCUUAUUGAAAAUUAUAAGAAUUGAAGGCGGACUUAGAAGUAAUUUAUAAGAAAAAUAGAAAGUUCCGGUGAAAAUGGCACUAAGAUGUG
rnacentral:rRNA from 1 species